GUCCUACGAGGGCACUCUGUACAAGAAGGGGGCCUUCAUGAAGCCUUGGAAGGCCCGCUGGUUCGUGCUGGACAAGACCAAGCACCAGGUGAGUGAUCAGGUGGUGGGGGGGACUCACGGGGGAGGGGGCUCCGCUGACUCUGUGGCCUCCUCCAGCUGCGCUACUACGACCACCGUGUGGACACAGAGUGCAAGGGUGUCAUCGACUUGGCGGAGGUGGAGGCUGUGGCACCUGGCACGCCCACUAUGGGUGCCCCUAAGACUGUGGACGAGAAGGCCUUCUUUGACGUGAAGACAACGCGUCGCGUUUACAACUUCUGUGCCCAGGACGUGCCCUCGGCCCAGCAGUGGGUGGACCGGAUCCAGAGCUGCCUGUCGGACGCCUGAGCCUCCCAGCCCUGCCCGGCUGCUCUGCUUCCGGUCGUUACCGACCACUAGGGGUGGGC
rnacentral:lncRNA from 1 species